CCUACGGGCGGCAGCAGUGAGGAAUAUUGGUCAAUGGGCGCGAGCCUGAACCAGCCAAGUCGCGUGAAGGAUGAAUGCCCUACGGGUCGUAAACUUCUUUUGUAGAGGAAUAGGGUGCGGCGCGUGUGCCUUUUUGUAUGGACUUUAUGAAUAAGGAUUGGCCAACUCCGUGCCAGCCGCCGCGGUAAUACGGAGGAGUCGAACGUUGUCCGGAUUUAUUGGGUUUAAAGGGAGCGUAAAUGGGUUGUUAAGUCAGGUGUGAAAGUUUGGGGCUCAACCCUAAAAGUGCAAUUGAUACUGGCAGUCUUGAGUACAGUUGAGGUAGGCGGAAUGCGUGGUGUAGCGGUGAAAUGCUUAGAUAUCACGAAGAACUCCGAUUGCGAAGGCAGCUUACUAGACGGCCACUGACAUUGAGGCUCGAAAGUGUGGGUAUCAAACAGGAUUAGAUACCCCAGUAGUC
rnacentral:rRNA from 1 species